AAACAAAGUGGUUUAGCCUGAAUGGAUCUUCUGACAGAAAACAGUUUCCAUGAAAAUGUUUACACUUUAUUUCCUGGGCUUUAUCCCUGCCUCCGGGGGGUUGUUGUCUGUUAUUAGAACAGGAGUCAGGCCUGUUGUCUUCUCUUCCUGGCUCUGUCUCCGCUUUGCUGUGUGACACCUUGGGUAGGUCCAAUGGGAAUAGGGUCAAUUCUGUAACUCCAGGCAGCAGUGAGCCUGGGUGAGAUAAGGGAUGUUAAGGCCGUCUGUGAAGGAGGAAGGGAUGUUUCCAAUUGGUGAACCUCAAGAAUUCUAAACUUUGCUAAAAUGGCUAGUCUAGAGAAACAAGAACUAGCUGGGGCCAAACUUUAACCAUUGUCUUUUUUAAAGCCCAUUCAGGGACGUGAGUCCCAGAGAGCCAUAGAGAGGGGGAGCAACUUCCCCAAAGUCCCACAGAUCAAUAGGCAGCAAUGGAACCAGGAGUGACACUCCCUCUCAAAGGCAGGGGGACCAGACAUUAGGGCCUGGUUGCAAUAGCCAGCUGUGGGAGGGAGUGUGCGGCAGUGGUUAGUGAAGGGGUCCAUCCAUGGCUCUGACACUCGGUGUGACCCUGAGAUGGUAGCUGAGGCCUGUUUGCUAUCAGUAGGGUUGGGGUCCCAUCGCUACAGCCCAGGGGGGUUGGGAGGCUCCAGAAAGGUGUUUAAAGUGCUGGGAUAUCAGGAUCCUGGAAGCGCUGUCACCUCCGCACUAGGGCAGUGUUCUGCACUCCCCUGCUGCUGACUGGGUUUCUCCAUCCCUUGGCAAUAAGACAGACUCUUGUUUUCACAGCCAGUGGAUCGAUCGCCCUAGUGUCAUCACCCUGCCUGCUGGCUGGGCAGGGUAACUCCUGAGGUCACCACCCUCUCCAGCCUGCCUUGGGCUUUGGGAGUGAGGAGGAGGGCGAGGGACGUCUGCUGACCGGGAACAUCGCCAUCCAUCAUACCAUCACUGAGAGCAAGAUGGCCAGGCCCCUGAGGAUGUUCAAGAAGAAGGCUCUGCAGGUGGCCCCAGAGCCUGAGGGAAGCAGCUGCCAUCUUCCCAAGGGGCAGAGCAACCCCUGCGUCCCCACUGGCGGGGAAGCAGCUCCCGUCCAGGCCAGAAGGCGGAAGUGCCCAGCCUUCUGGAAAACGAAACCAGCUCCCGGCGCAGGCGCCGAGCUGGGAGAGGCCCCGACCAGGCCCAAAUGGAGCUGGCCCAGGAUGCGGUUCUGCAGACAGGACCCAGCCCAGGAGGGGCGCCGGGCAGGGUGGCUCUGGGGCUUGUUGUGUGGGCAGCAGCGGCCCCAGGAGCCCAGCCCUCGUUCCCAUCAGGAGGCAUCGCCCUGCCCGGUCGCUGAGGACCAUCCAGCCCCCUCAGGCCAGGAGGUGGAAGGUCCCUGUCCCAGCACCGGCAGCUCAGCAUGGGACAGCAGCAGCCCCUGGGACUCUGGCAGCAGCGAGGCCGAUGGACGCCACUGCUUUGUUCCAGGGACCCCCCCCUGGAUUUGGAGCAGGAGGAAGGGGUGGACAUGGCCACAGAUGAAGCUGCUCUCAAGGUCAUCCGAGAGCAGCUCCAGUGCAGAGAAAAGGAUGAGGAGCAGCAGCUCCUGUUCCUGCAGGCCAUCUACCCCGUAUGUCUCGCUGCACGGUAGAGAGGGAAGGACUCGCUGGAGCCGCACUGCUGCAAGGCAGCUGUGGUGAAGAGGAUUGUGAUGAGUGAGACACGUCAUACGGCAGCUGGAGGGAGGAGAAAGACAUGGGUUUGGCAGGGGUAUUGCCGGGCUAAUGGGUGGGGGCUGGGUGGUGUUGGAGGGGGCAGCAGAGAGCAGGGAUUGCUGGGGCUGAAGACUGGGGAAAAGAGAAGGGAGAAAUUCUGAGAUUGGUCAGUCUUGGGCAAUGGGGGAAUUGUGGGGCUGGAGGGCAGCUGAGAGUGGGGGACAAGAAAUCACGUGGUCCCAGCUCGGUAGUCGGGAUGGUGCUGAAUGGGGGCAGUUUUGACAGGCAGGAGGAAAGAAGGGGAUUGGGUCUGAGCUGGGCAGGAAUCCGGGAAGGGGAGAAGUUGGAUGGGCAGGAAGGAAUCGGAGGAGCGGGAGAUAGUAGGGGAUCCUGCUGGCCAUGUGGGGCACUGGCUGUGUAAUCUCCUCACUGAGAGGUGUCAGUAGGGCCUGAAUCUCACACACUCCUUUGUCUCCUUCGCGUCUCACAGGAGCUCAUCGAGGAGCUUCCCGAGGACUCUCCACCCAGCGCCGUCCUCGCCAGCUUCCAGUGGGUAACCUCAGCACCAUGAAACCUCCCCUUGAGCCAGACCUAGAGACCCACCUCUUGUGAGCUGCCCUUCACUCUGUCUUCACCCUGGGCAUGGAGAAGAACACCACCCACAUCCAGGUAUAUCCUCCUCCUCCAUCCUCCUACUUUUCCAGAGUGGUCCUUGAUCCCUGUUCCCUUAAUUUGCUGGAGCUCCAGAUUUAGGGAUGGGGUAGGCAGAGAUGGAACAAGCUGCAGGGUUGGAUCCUUCCCUCCAGCAGGGAAGAGAUUACCCCUCCCUGGGGGAUUUGAUUUCUUUCUUUCUUUCUUUCUUUCUUUAUUUCUUAUGCCAUGUUUUGCCCAGCAGCUCAGCUUCCAUCCAUAGCAACUUGGCUGUUUCAUACUCUUCUGCCUACAAGGCCCUCUGCAGAGACCUGCUAAGCUCGUGGAUCAAAGAUCCAGGUGUCAUCAAUUCUUGCUAAUUGCCUGCAGUGGGAUGUGAAUGAGAGAGGCCAGGAUAUGUGUUUGGGAGUCUCCCCAGUGCUUCCCAGAGACCCCUUUUCCCAUCCUGUGGCAGGUGUAGGCCCAGGUUCCCUAACUCUGACCCUUGCUUUGCAGGCUCUGCACAAAGGACAUGAAUAGGAGCCUCCUCCCACCCUGUCUUCUAGGCCCUGGGGUGUUUGACAGCCUCCCAGAUGGGUGCAUUCAGAAGCUGAGCCACCUCAGGGAGCAGUGGGGACAGGUCACCUUGUCCUAGGAAACCAAGCAGUGCUAGUUCUCAAAUAGGCUGAAAGGGAAGACCCCGCUCCCUCAUGGAGGUAAGAGCCAUUUACUUCUUUGGGCAUAUGGGUAUUUUGGGGGAGAAAUGGGAUCCCUGCAACAUAGCCUGGCUAGGAGCAUUUCUGAGAGGAGGCUCCUGUCCCCCAGUCUCCAACUCCAUCAUGCUGUCUCAUUCACAUAACAUUUCAGCUCUCCAGCUCCACUUCCUGCAGCAGGACAAACGAACCUUCAGCUCCUAGAGAACGGACUCUGACCUCCUUCUGAUCAGCAAUGGGGUUUCACCAUCCCCUCAACAAACCUGUCAGCUGGUUGGACCAGAUUUUAAGGAGGAGGAGUCCAGGGUAGGACUGGGUUCUCUCACCGUCCCUAAGGAAGGGGACACAGAAGACCAUAGAAACCCAAGAAGGGCAGGCCAAGCCGAAAUCAGGCUGAGGAAGAGCGCCCCACAAGGGUGAAGGCCUUGUUUCUGUUCAAGACAUCUUUGGAUUUUGUUUGGAAGGAGCACGACCCAGGAAGGAGUGGACUAAAGGACGGUCACCUGGUUGGAGCGCUGAGUUCCCAGCCAACAAAC